rnacentral:rRNA from 1 species
AUUGAACGCUGGCGGCAGGCCUAACACAUGCAAGUCGAGCGGAAGAAGGGAGCUUGCUCCUGGAUUCAGCGGCGGACGGGUGAGUAAUGCCUAGGAAUCUGCCUGGUAGUGGGGGAUAACGUCCGGAAACGGGCGCUAAUACCGCAUACGUCCUGAGGGAGAAAGUGGGGGAUCUUCGGACCUCACGCUAUCAGAUCAGCUUAGGUGGGAUUAGCUAGUUGGUGGGGUAAAGGCCUACCAAGGCGACGAUCCGUAACUGGUCUGAGAGGAUGAUCAGUCACACUGGAACUGAGACACGGUCCAGACUCCUACGGGAGGCAGCAGUGGGGAAUAUUGGACAAUAGGCGAAAGCCUGGUCCAGCCAUGCCGCGUGUGUGAAGAAGGUCUUCGGAUUGUAAAGCACUUUAAGUUGGGAGGAAGGGCAGUAAGUUAAUACCUUGCUGUUUUGACGGUACCAACAGAAUAAGCACCGGCUAACUUCGUG